AUGUAGAAACAAUAAAGAUGGAAGGGGCACCCUUAGAGAAGUUUGUACCUCCUCAGUGUAGGGGCAUGAAAUGACACCCACAAAGAAGAGCCAUGGUAUUGUCUUGCUUUCUGCCUCAGUAUUGGCUAACUUUCACUUUAAAGGAAUUUUUAAAAUUGGUAGGACAUAAUAAAUGCUUCAAUGAAGGCACCUUAGUCAUCCAGCCAUUUGUUCGCUUAUUUAAGCAGUACUUAUUGACUGCCUGCUGUGUGAAUCCGGUUGUUUCACUAGGCAUUGAAGGUACAAGAGGAAUGUUGUUCCCAUGGAAUUAAUACCAGUAUAUAUAUACGAUUUAGUGGAGUGGGAUGUUGCCGAAAUGGAAGUCUGUGUAACUUGUGAUGGGAGCAAGGAGGUAAGAGCAGCCAGAGGAAUUAUCAGAGGAGGAUUGGCUUGGGCUGGGUUUUUUUCAGGCAGGCUAGCUGGGGGCAGGCAUUUUAGGAAGAAGCUGCAU
rnacentral:lncRNA from 1 species